rnacentral:rRNA from 1 species
GACGAACGCUGGCGGCGUGCUUAACACAUGCAAGUUGAACGGGCAUACAUGGAAGCUUGCUGAAGUGUAUGUUAGUAGCGGACGGGUGAGUAAUGCAUGAGAAGCUGCCAUUGGGAGGGGGACAACAGUUGGAAACGGCUGCUAAUACCCCGUAUGCCGAAAGGUAAAAGGGAGCAAUCCGCCUGAUGAGGUGCUCAUGUCCUAUCAGCUGGUUGGUGGGGUAACGGCCUACCAAGGCGACGACGGGUAGCCGGCCUGAGAGGGUGAACGGCCACACUGGAACUGAGAUACGGUCCAGACUCCUACGGGAGGCAGCAGUGGGGAAUAUUGGGCAAUGGGGGAAACCCUGACCCAGCGACGCCGCGUGAGGGAAGACGGCCUCGGUUGUAACCGUACUUUGUUACGGUAAGAAGGAAGUAGACGGUACGUGUACGAAUAAGUACCGGCGUAACUACGUGCCAGCAGCCGCGGUAAACGUAAGACGUG